rnacentral:lncRNA from 1 species
AUGUGUCACUUUUCAGGAUGUGGAAACACUGUGAGCCAUACACCCUCCAUUGCUUGGUGCUGGGGUUGUGUGGCCUCCGGUGGGGUGAAAGCAGCCAGCUCAUCUCAGUGACUCACAGGACACAGCCAUCCAGUGGCAUCUUUCCUUGUUGAAUGAUACUGUAAUGACCUUCCGAAGUGAAAAGUAGCACAUUAAAGUGAUUUUAUUGUUUCCUGUUUCUCAUUCCGAUUUCUUUUUCCUUCUAUGUUCCCAGAUUCUGGAACGGAACCCUAGCCCUUCCAGGUCUGAGAGCCACUCUUUCUUUGCUCUGGAUUUCUGUCACGUCGGGGGCCCCUCCCUCUGCGGAGUUGCAUGUUGCUGUUCCUGAUGCAGACUCCUCCCCCGCUGCUUUUCUGCCCACUGGGUCAGGAUCUGCCAUUCUUUACAAGUUUCCUUAACGUAUUGCGUCAAAGCGAGACAACAGAGUCUUACUCAAACUUGUUUUAACCGGAGAUGGAGCAUCGCUGCUGUGUCACCGCCUGCACAGGGCUGCCCUCAGGUGAAUACCCCGAGUCCGCCAGGCUGGGUGCUGAUGCGCGGGGGUUUGGGCCGUCCCUGCCCCAUUUCCCACAGUGGCUGCUUGAGACCCUCCCCAGGCCCCUUGAGCCC